UACGUAGGGACCAAGCGUUGUUCGGAAUUACUGGGCGUAAAGGGCGCGUAGGCGGCCUUCUAAGUCGAACGUGAAAUCCCUGGGCUCAACCCAGGAACUGCGUCCGAUACUGGAAGGCUUGAAUCCGGGAGAGGGAUGCGGAAUUCCAGGUGUAGCGGUGAAAUGCGUAGAUAUCUGGAAGAACACCAGUGGCGAAGGCGGUCAACUGGCCCGUAACUGACGCUGAGGCACGAAAGCGUGGGUAGCGAACAGG
rnacentral:rRNA from 1 species